AGUGGCGGACGGGUGAGUAACGCGUGAGAAUCUGCCUUGGGGUCGGGGACAACCACUGGAAACGGUGGCUAAUACCGGAUAAGCCGAUUGGUGAAAGAUUCAUUGCCCGAAGAGGAGCUCGCGUCUGAUUAGCUAGUUGGUGAGGUAAGAGCUCACCAAGGCAGCGAUCAGUAGCUGGUCUGAGAGGACGAUCAGCCACACUGGGACUGAGACACGGCCCAGACUCCUACGGGAGGCAGCAGUGGGGAAUUUUCCGCAAUGGGCGAAAGCCUGACGGAGCAAGACCGCGUGAGGGAGGAAGGCUCUUGGGUUGUAAACCUCUUUUCUCAGGGAUAAGCUCUGACGGUACCUGAGGAAUCAGCCUCGGCUAACUCCGUGCCAGCAGCCGCGGUAAUACGGAGGAGGCAAGCGUUAUCCGGAAUUAUUGGGCGUAAAGCGUCCGCAGGUGGCGAUUCAAGUCUGCUGUCAAAGCACGGGGCUUAACUCCGUAAAGGCAGUGGAAACUGAAUAGCUAGAGUGCCGUAGGGGUAGAGGGAAUUCCCGGUGUAGCGGUGAAAUGCGUAGAGAUCGGGAAGAACAUCGGUGGCGAAAGCGCUCUACUGGACGGCAACUGACACUCAGGGACGAAAGCUAGGGGAGCGAAUGGGAUUAGAUACCCC
rnacentral:rRNA from 1 species